CCUCAAUAUAUGUCAGAGUUGCUCUGUGUUCAGGCUCCAGUUAGAGAAUUACGGUCAGCUCGGCAGGUGCUGCUGGAUAUACCUAGGUGCAGACUAAAGACAAAAGAGGGACACCUGUGUGGCGCAGAUAUCGCCUCCGUGGACGCCAGCACCCUGGAGAUGCUCCACCUGUCCACGCCCGAGGACCGGGAGCUGCUGCUGUCCAACAUCUACAGAGAGCUCCACCCGCCCAAUAGCCUGACCCGGAGACUGGACUCUCUGAUCGAAACAUUUGGGCCUCAUAACAACGUGGAGAGCUUUACCGCGGCGCUCGUGUCCAUGAGCAAGUCCAUGUCCGCCCCUCACGUGAGCGGCCUCACCGCGAUGCCUUCCUCCCUAAUGCUCAGAGCCAAGAGCAGCAUGGGGCAGAGGAGCACUCAGCUGAUAGAGAUCACCGUUCAUGCAUUAGAGCAAAUCGUCCAUCUGCGUACGCCAAAAGAAACCACAGUGGGGAAGGUCAAAGAGUCCUGUGUCAAGAUGCUGGGCCUGACAGAGGAUACGCACACCUUUACGCUCAAAGACAACACAGGGCUAAGCGAUGGACUCUCAGCCAAUCAACAGAUUGGCAACCUGUUGACAACCUCCAAGAGACAACUGGAGUUGCACCUGUGUAAAAAGGACAAACAAACAGAAGGCGAGACCUCAAAAGUGAACGGUUCUCAAUACAACGUAAACCAGAAUGUGCAGCCAGCGAAAGAGGAGAAGAUCAAGGAACUGAACCAGCAGGUGGACUCUCUGCAACACGUCAUCCUCCAGGUCCAGGAACUCCACCACGGGCUGGUGGCCUUCUGCUCUGAGCUGAAGAGCGUGGACGUGGAGGUGGAUGUGACGGAGCUCAGUCCCGUCGAGCUGAGACAUCGGUUGGAAUCGGCCCAGAGCCAACUGCAGGAGAAGAGGCAGAGCCUUCAGAACCUGAAGGAGAACAUCAGCAACGCUGCAGCACAGAGGAACAUGGAAUGGCGCUCGGAGAUCCGCCUCAUUGACAAGAUGAAACUGAACUGUCAGGUGUUCAAGGCGGAGAUCUCCGUGGUGCAUCUCAACAGACAGGUGGCCCACCUGAAGAAUGCUCUUCAGGAUCGCUGUGAUAAGGAGAGACCUCCAGCAGAGCCAAGCCCUGCCGUGGGUCCCUUGAGCCAGCUGCUGUCCCCGCAGUGCCCAGCCUUGCUUCUGGUGGUCCAGGCGUGCCCGGGGCCCGACAGCCGAUACGGCUUCUCCUGCUGCUCCAGGGGGGCCGGUCAAGGCCUGGUGGUCACCCAGUCGGACCACUCCCAACUCUGCCUGGAGGACAGGCUGGUGGAGGUGAACGGCGUUGCCGUGGUGAAUUCCACCGAGGAAGACCUCCACGGCCUCCUGCUGCAGGGGGGCUCCAGCGCCCAGAUCGUAGUCCUGCGAAGGCCCUCGCUAAGGCCCGCCUCCUGCCAGCCCCCCGGGCCUGUCCAUCAACCGGCUCACCAUGUGCCUCCCCCCGCCGGCUCUCCGGAGGGGGGAGCGGUCGUCAAGGAAACCCCUCCACAGAGGAAGCUGAUAGCCAUUUGAAGAAUUUGUCGUUGUGUGUAAUAUGUGUGUGUGUAGUGUGUAGUGUGUGUAUAUUCGGGAUGUGUUGUGGGUAAUAUGUUGUAGGGAUUGUGUUAUGUUGUGUGUAUGUGCGUGUUCAUGUGGGCCAGAGAGAGAAAGAGAGAGAGAGAGUGAGCGAGCUGAUGUGAGGGGAGACAAUGUGUAGCAGAGUGAGGAGAGAGGAGAUAGAGGGAGAUGGGGGCAGUGAUGGCGUGGUGCUAAGUCCGCAUCAAGUCAAGCUUUAGCUGUCGCUGCCAAAUUAAUAGAGAUAACCUACUUUGUAGUUGUGUUGGUUAAAUAAAAAAGAAUGGUCU
ensembl:lncRNA